rnacentral:lncRNA from 1 species
UUUGAUAAAAGAAAAUUUCUUAUGUUGUACAAAAUGUAAUUAAAAACCAAUUUUAUGUUUAUGGAUGUUAUUGCGAUCGAUUUUUUCUUUACUUCCUACAAUAAACUAAAAACAGAUGAAAUCAACAUGAUAAAGUUAGUUGUUAUAGUAUAUUUGAUAACUACGAUUGGAUGCAUAGUGAAACGUAAUUUUCCUAACAAAAGAUUUUUUGAGAAUAAUUUUGAAACGACAGAGCGUAUUGGUCUUAAAGCGUUAUGCAAACUAAAGCCUACAACAACUUGUAAAAAAGUUUGCGUUAAAACUGUAUGUUACAACAUAUGUCAACCCGAUCAAGUUUUAGAAUGCCAACUAUAAUUAAAUUAUAGUAAAUCUAAAUUCUGUUUUUUUACUUUUUAGAGUAUUACUUAUGAGUUUUACUUUUAGGUGUUUUUUUUAGUUUUAUUUUUUAAUUAUAUCUUCUAUCAGGCACUUUUAUACCAUCUGAAUUUUAUUGGCGCUACGAACGAUGAGUUUUCACCAAAUAAAUUAAAAGGUUGUGUUAAAAAUUUUUUUUUAAUCUAUCUUAUUGUACUAGAUCAGUGUUGUGAAGAUUAUUUGCAUUAAAACCAAAAAACAUGAAUUUUACUUGAAUUUUUUUUAACUCGAAUAGAAUAAUAAUAUAAUAAUAGAAUAACCCAUACUAUAAUAUUUUAUGGGUCCUCUCAGUGCUGCUAUGAAGCUCUGCACACAAAUUAAAAUGGAUUCGACGAAGUUUUUUAUGAAGAGAAAGCCUGAAUAUAACUCAUGGAGAGGCUGAUAGAACCACACUUCCUGAUGCAAUAAUACAAAAUCUCAAAGAGCAACUUGCAACAGUUUUUGCCAAUUACUCGUGGGCGUGCGUCAGACGAAGUCUUAAUCAGAGCGGCCUAGAUAGGAAGAAAAAAUGAAAGUAAUCAGCAAUGCAAUUGUGAUUCUGUAAUAAUGAUAAUAUGUGAAAAAUUUCUUUUAUACA